rnacentral:rRNA from 1 species
GACGAACGCUGGCGGCGUGCUUAACACAUGCAAGUCGAACGCUGAAGCUCAGCUUGCUGGGUGGAUGAGUGGCGAACGGGUGAGUAACACGUGAGUAACCUGCCCCCUUCUUUGGGAUAACGCCCGGAAACGGGUGCUAAUACUGGAUAUUCACUGAUCUUCGCAUGGGGGUUGGUGGAAAGGUUUUUUCUGGUGGGGGAUGGGCUCGCGGCCUAUCAGCUUGUUGGUGGGGUGAUGGCCUACCAAGGCUUUGACGGGUAGCCGGCCUGAGAGGGUGACCGGUCACAUUGGGACUGAGAUACGGCCCAGACUCCUACGGGAGGCAGCAGUGGGGAAGAUUGCACAAUGGGCGAAAGCCUGAUGCAGCGACGCCGCGUGAGGGAUGGAGGCCUUCGGGUUGUAAACCUCUUUCGCUCAUGGUCAAGCCGCAACAGUGGUUGUGGUGAGGGUAGUGGGUAAAGAAGCGCCGGCUAACUACGUG